GGGCUGCAGUGAGGAAUAUUGGACAAUGGGCGCAAGCCUGAUCCAGCGACGCCGCGUGAGUGAUGAAGGCCUUUGGGUCGUAAAGCUCUGUCAGCAGGGAAGAACGGCCGUGCGGUUAAUACCCGUGCGGAUUGACGGUACCUGCAGAGGAAGCACCGGCUAACUCCGUGCCAGCAGCCGCGGUAAUACGGAGGGUGCGAGCGUUAAUCGGAAUUACUGGGCGUAAAGGGCGCGUAGGCGGCUGAUCAAGUCAGGUGUGAAAGCCCACGGCUUAACCGUGUGAAGUGCAUCUGAAACUGGUCGGCUUGAGUAUCGGAGAGGAAAGUGGAAUUCCCGGUGUAGAGGUGAAAUUCGUAGAUAUCGGGAGGAAUACCGGUGGCGAAGGCGACUUUCUGGACGAAUACUGACGCUGAGGCGCGAAAGCGUGGGGAGCAAACAGGAUUAGAUACCCCGGUAGUC
rnacentral:rRNA from 1 species